CAGUUUGCGGUUUGAGAUACGGACUCAUUUUACCUCAGAAAACGACCGUUAAACUGAGGUUCAAAUCUUACUAAGACCUUCUUAACAAGUCACCUCAGCAUUAUAAAUGCAGUCCUUCUUAUGGAAACCUGUUUACCCACCGAGGUUAAGGAAUGAAGUCGAGACUGCCGUGCCAACAGCGCUGCUCCUGCCGGAUGUGACGGAACCUGCCGUGUUUGCACCAAGAAUGUCAAGAUCUCACUACAGACUUUAUUACAGACUGGAGUGAAUAAUAAUAAUUAUUAUUUAUUUAUUUAUUUUAUUUUGCUAGUUAUAACUUUUAGAUCAUUUAAUUCUGUGUUUGUAUGCUUUGUGUAAAUCGUGUAUUUAUUUAAAGUAUCCUCCAGACCACCCAAGAAGGAUGGGCCCUGCUGAGUCUGGUUCCUCUCAAGGUUUCUUCCUGUAAAUUUUAAGGGAGUUUUUCCUUGCCACUGUCGCCCUUGGCGGCUCAACAGGGUUUUUUGUAUCUGUUGGUCCUGGAUUCUAUAAAGUUGCUUUGAGACAAUGUGUAUUGUAAAAUGCGCUAUAUAAAUACAUUUGAAUUGA